rnacentral:lncRNA from 1 species
GGGAAUGGCUGCUAUAUAAGCCGCCCCAACCGGCCUCUCUCCUCAACUCAACCCUAAUUUCAUUUCAUUCCCCACCCCAUCCACCGGCCGCCGCUGGUCAGGAGUCGCCUCGCCCUCGCCGUCGUCUCUGUCGCGCGUCAGUCGUGGAGAAGACGAAGGGAGUCCAGCAGGGGCGAGGGGGAGGGCGACGUCUGAUCGACACUGUCCCCACCCCUUCAUCUCGCCCUCCGACAGCGACAGCGGCAUCGACGGAGCCGGAGCUCCAAGGAAGCAGGUAAGCUCCGAGCCGUCCCUGUUCUUCACUUCUUCUUCUUCUCUGUCUCUGUUCUUCUUCUUCUUCUUCAGGUCUGCUGAUCCGCUGCUGCUCGGAUCUACUCAAGCUCAAGCUUCUUCGUCGCCGUCGACUGCUAGGUAAUCACUAGCUCAGAUCUGCUACUCCUCCUUUGUUCUUCCAUUUCUGAUCUGAUCUGAAGUAUUCUUCCUCUAAUCUGCUUCUUGUUUGCUCUGUUAUGGCAGCCGAUUGAGGCUAGGGCUAGGGCCCGUGAGGAGAAAGACGUCCGCUAGAACUUGCUAGAACUUGAUGUAAUAUGAGAACUUGAACUGUGAUGUAAAAACAUUGAACUAUAUGGAGCUUGGC